rnacentral:sRNA from 1 species
GCAGCAGCACCCCUCCUCCGAAGGUAAAGCUGCUUGACGACGCCCUCGCCGCCUCCUAUAUUGCAGAAAAUCCUACAGUAACCCUAAUGGCCGACGCUACAACAAUUUGUCACCUGCUGACACCAAAUUGGGAAUCCCGGGACUACGAUUACACUAUUCCGUGUGUAGUCCGAGAGGAGAAUCUGCCUGGAGUAGGAUGGCGCAAAGUUGUCGUACUUUCGAAGCCGAUGCCCAGUGGAAGGGUACUGGUUUUUGCUCGGCUGAAAAUUUUAAGAAUUUUUUUUAAUCGAUUUCCCCUGUGACUUGUGUGCUUCUAUUCAGAGUUUUUGGCAUAAAAACGGGUAUUUAUUCACAUUUUCAGUCUUAAAUUGGCUGAAAAUGUGAAUAAAUACCGUAUUUCUGCCAACAAUUUGACAAUAGAGCACAUUUGUCACUCGGACAUGCGGAAGCUAUGCCCAAAUUUUCAUUUUUUUUUUCCCGAAAAACUUUGGCUUUUCACAGAUUUUCAAUAGAAAAUUCGAGUUUUCCGUCACUUUUUAUCCCCGGAAACCGGUUUUCAACCAAUUUGGACGAAGUGUCGUAAAGUUCGGUGCCGAGUACGCAGACACUCGGUGUUUGCGUACUUUUGGGGCUACCGUACCCCUCGGAUUUCAAAAAUAGAGCUAGAGGUCCAUUCGGGGUGAAAUUGAACGGAGAAUUCGAGUUUUAGUUUGAAAAUUUCUUUUUAAAAGUUUUUUUCAUAAAAAAAAUUUAAUUUUUCCAAUUUUUCAGAUCACCAAAGCCUCUAUCCAACGAAAAUCGCUGAAGCGAGCUCUGAGAUCGCAAUUUUUGCUCAAAAAAUCGCCGAAAAUCGCGGAAAAGCCAGUAGUACCCGACGCAAUAGAAGUGGAGCCCACAACAACAUCAGAAGCUCCAGCAGAAGCUCGCGGAGCCACCGAUUUUCUCGACGAUAUUCUCACAGAAAUGGCGACGAAAAAAUCGAAAAAAGAGGCGAAAAACGAGGAGAAAAUUCCGGAAAAUCAGCGAAAAUCCACGUAUCAAUACGGAAUUUUUCGAAUUGGAGACGCCCGGCUUCUCGUUCGUUCGAAUGCUCCGUACGGUGUAAAUGAGCCCGGAGAGAAGAAGCAUGCAUUCUUGCACCACAGCUCACAGCGGGCUCAAGCUCAGGCUCACAUGGUCACUUUUGAGCCACGUAUUGAAUAUCUUCCAAAUGGCGGAGCAAUGGAUCUUGGAGCACCGGAAUGGUGUUGGAAUUUCACGAAAGCAGUGCUGAAAAUGAGCGAUUCGCACAUUUUAUAUAGAACUUCGUAUCGGCUUGAUCAUAUUUUGCAGAUUGAUGCAUUGACUAUGAAGGUUGAUGUACAGGAGCCACCUCCGGGCGCUUUUGGAUU